UACGUAGGGUGCGAGCGUUAAUCGGAAUUACUGGGCGUAAAGCGUGCGCAGGCGGCUUCGCAAGUCAGACGUGAAAUCCCCGGGCUUAACCUGGGAACUGCGUCCGAUACUGGAUGGCUUGAAUUCGGGAGAGGGAUGCAGAAUUCCAGGUGUAGCGGUGAAAUGCGUAGAUAUCUGGAGGAAUACCGGUGGCGAAGGCGGCAUCCUGGACCGACAUUGACGCUGAGGAGCGAAAGCUAGGGGAGCAAACGGG
rnacentral:rRNA from 1 species